rnacentral:ncRNA from 1 species
AUUUAUAAGAAUAUGAUGUUGGUUCAGAUUAAGCGCUAAAUAAGGACAUGACACAUGCGAAUCAUACGUUUAUUAUUGAUAAGAUAAUAAAUAUGUGGUGUAAACGUGAGUAAUUUUAUUAGGAAUUAAUGAACUAUAGAAUAAGCUAAAUACUUAAUAUAUUAUUAUAUAAAAAUAAUUUAUAUAAUAAAAAGGAUAUAUAUAUAAUAUAUAUUUAUCUAUAGUCAAGCCAAUAAUGGUUUAGGUAGUAGGUUUAUUAAGAGUUAAACCUAGCCAACGAUCCAUAAUCGAUAAUGAAAGUUAGAACGAUCACGUUGACUCUGAAAUAUAGUCAAUAUCUAUAAGAUACAGCAGUGAGGAAUAUUGGACAAUGAUCGAAAGAUUGAUCCAGUUACUUAUUAGGAUGAUAUAUAAAAAUAUUUUAUUUUAUUUAUAAAUAUUUAAUAUUUAUAAUAAUAAUAAUAAUAAUAUAUAUAUAUAAAUUGAUUAAAAAUAAAAUCCAUAAAUAAUUAAAAUAAUGAUAUUAAUUACCAUAUAUAUUUUAUAUGGAUAUAUAUAUUAAUAAUAAUAUUAAUUUAUUAUUAUUAAUAAUAUAUUUUAAUAGUCCUGACUAAUAUUUGUGCCAGCAGUCGCGGUAACACAAAGAGGGCGAGCGUUAAUCAUAAUGGUUUAAAGGAUCCGUAGAAUGAAUUAUAUAUUAUAAUUUAGAGUUAAUAAAAUAUAAUUAAAGAAUUAUAAUAGUAAAGAUGAAAUAAUAAUAAUAAUUAUAAGACUAAUAUAUGUGAAAAUAUUAAUUAAAUAUUAACUGACAUUGAGGGAUUAAAACUAGAGUAGCGAAACGGAUUCGAUACCCGUGUAGUUCUAGUAGUAAACUAUGAAUACAAUUAUUUAUAAUAUAUAUUAUAUAUAAAUAAUAAAUGAAAAUGAAAGUAUUCCACCUGAAGAGUACGUUAGCAAUAAUGAAACUCAAAACAAUAGACGGUUACAGACUUAAGCAGUGGAGCAUGUUAUUUAAUUCGAUAAUCCACGACUAACCUUACCAUAUUUUGAAUAUUAUAAUAAUUAUUAUAAUUAUUAUAUUACAGGCGUUACAUUGUUGUCUUUAGUUCGUGCUGCAAAGUUUUAGAUUAAGUUCAUAAACGAACAAAACUCCAUAUAUAUAAUUUUAAUUAUAUAUAAUUUUAUAUUAUUUAUUAAUAUAAAGAAAGGAAUUAAGACAAAUCAUAAUGAUCCUUAUAAUAUGGGUAAUAGACGUGCUAUAAUAAAAUGAUAAUAAAAUUAUAUAAAAUAUAUUUAAUUAUAUUUAAUUAAUAAUAUAAAACAUUUUAAUUUUUAAUAUAUUUUUUUAUUAUAUAUUAAUAUGAAUUAUAAUCUGAAAUUCGAUUAUAUGAAAAAAGAAUUGCUAGUAAUACGUAAAUUAGUAUGUUACGGUGAAUAUUCUAACUGUUUCGCACUAAUCACUCAUCACGCGUUGAAACAUAUUAUUAUCUUAUUAUUUAUAUAAUAUUUUUUAAUAAAUAUUAAUAAUUAUUAAUUUAUAUUUAUUUAUAUCAGAAAUAAUAUGAAUUAAUGCGAAGUUGAAAUACAGUUACCGUAGGGGAACCUGCGGUGGGCUUAUAAAUAUC